rnacentral:rRNA from 1 species
GUAGUCCACGCCGUAAACGAUGAAUGCUAGGUGUUAGGGGUUUCGAUACCCUUGGUGCCGAAGUUAACACAUUAAGCAUUCCGCCUGGGGAGUACGGUCGCAAGACUGAAACUCAAAGGAAUUGACGGGGACCCGCACAAGCAGUGGAGUAUGUGGUUUAAUUCGAAGCAACGCGAAGAACCUUACCAGGUCUUGACAUCCCAAUGCAAGCAUUAGAGAUAGUGCCCUUCUUCGGAACAUUGGAGACAGGUGGUGCAUGGUUGUCGUCAGCUCGUGUCGUGAGAUGUUGGGUUAAGUCCCGCAACGAGCGCAACCCUUGAUCUUAGUUGCCAGCACUUUAAGGUGGGCACUCUAGGAUGACUGCCGGUGACAAACCGGA